rnacentral:tRNA from 1 species
AGGGUUAUUUUGAUAGAAUAAAUCAUGUAUUACUUACCUU